CCUACGGGAGGCAGCAGUGAGGAAUAUUGGACAAUGGUCGAAAGACUGAUCCAGCCAUGCCGCGUGCAGGAUGAAUGCCCUAUGGGUUGUAAACUGCUUUUAUACGGGAAGAACACCACCCACGUGUGGGUGACUGACGGUACCGUAAAAAUAAGGACCGGCUAACUCCGUGCCAGCAGCCGCGGUAAUACGGAGGGUCCAAGCGUUAUCCGGAAUCAUUGGGUUUAAAGGGUCCGUAGGCGGGCUAUUAAGUCAGAGGUGAAAGUUUGCAGCUCAACUGUAAAAUUGCCUUUGAUACUGGUAGUCUUGAGUUAUAGUGAAGUGGUUAGAAUAUGUGGUGUAGCGGUGAAAUGCAUAGAUAUCACAUAGAAUACCAAUUGCGAAGGCAGAUCACUAACUAUAUACUGACGCUGAUGGACGAAAGCGUGGGGAGCGAACGGGAUUAGAUACCCUGGUAG
rnacentral:rRNA from 1 species